AUUGAACGCUGGCGGCAUGCCUUACACAUGCAAGUCGAACGGUAACGGGCCUUCGGGUGCCGACGAGUGGCGGACGGGUGCGUAAUACAUCGGAACGUGCCCGAUCGUGGGGGAUAACGAGGCGAAAGCUUUGCUAAUACCGCAUACGAUCUACGGAUGAAAGCAGGGGACCGCAAGGCCUUGCGCGGACGGAGCGGCCGAUGGCAGAUUAGGUAGUUGGUGGGAUAAAAGCUUACCAAGCCGACGAUCUGUAGCGGGUCUGAGAGGAUGAUCAGCCACACUGGGACUGAGACACGGCCCAGACUCCUACGGGAGGCAGCAGUGGGGAAUUUUGGACAAUGGGCGAAAGCCUGAUCCAGCCAUGCCGCGUGAAGGAUGAAGGCCUUCGGGUUGUAAACUGCUUUUGUACGGAACGAAAAGCCUUCUUAUAAUACAGGAGGGUCAUGACGGUACCGUAAGAAUAAGCACCGGCUAACUACGUG
rnacentral:rRNA from 1 species